CGAAUUUGGCAAGAAGUUUCUCUCGGUCAGUACGGUGUAUAAGGAAUUAAGUAUUAUCGAAAUGGUGAUUUCUUGUUCCGCUUUCAAUUGUACGAAGCGAUGGAGUAAGGAAAGUGACUUAGCAUUUCACAGGUAAUAGGACUACCGGUACAAUACGAUAAAAAUACAGACUUAGUGCGUUUGCUAAUUCGAUGUUUUUGAACAGGUUUCUUCUAAAGCACCCAGAGCUGCUAAAGAAGUGUAUUACUUCCGUGAAGCGGAAAGGUUUUAAUCCUACGUCUUGCAGUUCUCUUUGCGGAAACCAUUUCCGACAAGAUGAUUACAUAGUGAGCCCUGCAACGUGGAAGAAACGGUUUCAAACCCGAAGCAGUGCCAUCAGUUUUUGACUUUCCGACUCAUUUGAUGCCACCAAAUAAACAGCCACGAUGACAUGUUGUUAGGAUUUUGAGUGACAACGAAUGCUUCUCCAUUUGAGCGUUCUGUCAUAGAAUCUGUGCUCGAUUUGCCCGCUGCAGAACCUACUGAUUGCGUGGAGAAUGUUGUCAAUGAGAAUUCUUCCGUGGAAAGCAUGUCCCAAUUAUCCAAUGCAGAAGCUGCGAAUUGUGUCAAAAACAGUACAGUUGGUUCUUCAGUAAUUGAUUGUGGUAUACAGUCGAAAGUAGAAAUGGAAGACAAGGCGACCGAAACUUGCAAUUUUUUCUCAGACAUUUUGCACGAAUUAAAACGUAAACUGAAGUGCGUCUGUGAAAAACUAAGAAGAAGAGAGAAGGAAGUAUUUUCCAUGGAUGACAUCAUAAGUUCAUUGAAGGAGAAGUAUCUUCCUAAGAAGUUACGUAAUUUCCUCUAUCAUCAGAAAGGAACACAAGUGGAAUUAGUGUGCAAUUUAGUGAACAACUCUCUCUCUCGUCAAAGGGUAAUAGAUACACAAAAAAUGUGAAAAUGUUUGUGAUGACUACGUACUUUUAUUCACCAGCAAAAAUUAAUGCCUCUGCCCCAUAAAUCAUUGAUUUCCAAAUGGGUGGAAAGUGUAGACUGUGAACCUGGCUUCUUAAAAGAUUUUUUUUAAGUACAUUGAUUUGAACCCAAUUGUAAGGGACCAGUUCAGCGAUUCAUGUCUAAUUGUAGACAGUAUGGCAAUUAGGAAGCAAGUA